rnacentral:rRNA from 1 species
ACCCGCUGAAUUUAAGCAUAUCAAUAAGCGGAGGAAAAGAAACUAACCAGGAUUCCCCUAGUAACGGCGAGCGAACGGGGAAGAGCCCAACACCGAAUCCCUCAGCGCAAGUUGAUGGGAACUGUGGUGUUAAGGUUGCCCUUCGUGCUGAACUGAGCGUCUCAAGUCCACCUGAUUGUGGCUCAAGCCCAGAGAGGGUGUUAGGCCCGUAGAGGCGCUCGGAGCAGUUCCCGGGGUUUAACCUACGAGUCGGCUUGUUUGGGAAUGCAGGCCAAAGCGGGUGGUAAACUCCAUCCAAGGCUAAAUACUGGCACGAGUCCGAUAGCGGACAAGUACCGUGAGGGAAAGUUGAAAAGAACUUUGAAGAGAGAGUUCAAUAGUACGUGAAACCGCUUAGAGGCAAACGGAUGGUGCUCAAAUUGGCACGGGGGAUUCAGCCGUCAUGUUUGUCAGGUGGGCUGGCGUUCGGAUCCUGCUAUCGGGACUGGCGUCAGUCUUCUAACUGGCUUCCAUUCGGUGCACUUUCCCCGGUUGCCUUCGCCACGACCGACGACACUGGCCACCCGCGGCUGGGGAAAGGUGGCAAGCUGCUUCGGUAGCUUGUUCUUAUAGACCCUGGCGUCGGAUAUUGUUUGGGCAGGACGUCGGAGUUCUAGCGGUGCCCGCCCCUUGUGGGCUCGUACGCCGGUUGGCUUGGUCUCGCCGAUGCUUGCACUGGUAACCAGUACAGGUGACGGUUGUGGCCUUGUCUCUAGCCGGUCUCUGCGAGUUUGGCGCCUAUAGUCUGUGGUGUUCCAGUGAGUUACUAUCCGACCCGUCUUGAAACACGGACCAAGGAGUCUAACAUGUUCGCGAGUCAUGGGGAUUUUACGAAACCCAAAGGCGCAGUGAAAGUAAAGGCUUGCUUCUCGCAGGCUGAGGUGAGAUCUCGUGCAUAGCGAUUGGCGAGCGCAUCACCGGCUCGUCCUAUCUGUCUCUGUCAGUGGGGCGAAGCAAGAGCGUACACGUUGGGACCCGAAAGAUGGUGAACUAUGCUUGCGCAGCUCGAAGUCAGUGGAAACACUGAUGGAGGAGCGCAGCGUUUCUGACGUGCAAAUCGAUCGUCAAACGUGAGUAUAGGGGCGAAAGACUAAUCGAACCAUCUAGUAGCUGGUUCCCUCCGAAGUUUCCCUCAGGAUAGC